AAACGUGCGUGCGCCUGCUCAGACCCUGACGUGACGAACAGAAUAAAGGCUACUGGAAUUACUCCCCAUCUUGGAAAUUCUUCAUGUAAAAUCACCGAUGAGUGUAACACAGGUAAUGCAACUCGGCAGAGAUAUUCAAAGUUAGUCAUGUAUCGUUCUAUGAGAGGUUUGUCCAGAUGAAAACGCACUUUCUCGCCCCUCUCUGUCCUUGAGCUGUGAUAAGAGGCCUGCUAGAGUUUAUCUGGAGUUUCACAGGUGACAAAUCUGAGCUUCCAAGACACAGCACAGCUACACACACACAUGAUCUGCUCUUUAAGUGAUUACUGCAGAUGGACAAGUCACCUACACUACAAUGGAGAAGUUUGGGAUUG